UACGGAAGCCUCCCUUUGCAGAGGCAGACGCCCAAGGAGCAAAGCUGGCGGGAGGUCUCAGGCAGUGGAAUCGUGCUGGCCUCACAUGCCCACCGCCCGCGCGUUCCUUCCUCGUCCUUUCCGAGCCCGCUGUGCAGACUGCCAGCAAGGCAGGUUACUAUCGGGAAGAAGAAGCAAGUGCAGCAGGAGAGGAGGAAGGGCUCUCAUCUGAAGGGAAACAUCUGAACGUCAAACGACUGAGACAUUCAGGCUAGAUUCAAUGAUUCAAGACUGAGCCGAACUCCUAAUCGCCUCAUCUGUUGGUGUUCCUUUCAGAAAUUCCUGUAUAUCCUGGCUCCCCUCCUCGCCUCUUCGGAGCAGUCUCUUAGAAUUAUCUGAGAUGCCAUGUCCUGCACUUAAGUCAUCAGUUUUGUCUACCAAAUAAAGGGAUAUUUCAUGAUGAAAACAACCAACUUUUGCACUGUGGAUCUAUC